AGAACGAUGGAACUGGUGAAGGACCAGAAGUUUACUUUUUUGAAAUCUCUGAGAUGCUGUGUUGUGUUAGCAUCCUUCCCCUUGCAAUGAGCCAGUUAAUUCUGUUACAGAGCUAGUUUUUGCCAGUUUGUUCUUUAUUCAUUCACUUCUGCUUUCAUUUCACAGGCACAGCCUUUGGCUGCUGGGAUGGUGAACCAGCAUUGGGCUCCAGAACAGCAACAUGACCUUUAGAAUUCACUUCCCCCAGCCCCUCUGCAGUAAAUUCCCUGGUGCUGGGAUAAUCACCUUGUGAUAGCAGAUGCUCUGGUUGUGCCCACUCCCUUCCAGAUGCACACCUCAUACCAAUACACCUCUUUUCUUAUUAUUGCUUCUGCUCUACUCUGUGGGUUUUGUUUCUUCAUGAGGCCUAGGGAUAGAAAAAGCAUUUGCUUUCAAUGUACAUCUAAGGAGUAGUCAUGAGUAACUGUGGUGGCUGUAGGCAACAGGGCAGUGGUUAUUUUCUGCAGUCCUUAAUUCCUCUGCAUCUUUCAUCUCUUGGAUUAAUCAGAGCAUUUGAUCUUAUUUUUUAGAAUACCUAUUUUUUUUUUAAUCCUGUCAUCUUUUUCAGCUAGAAAGUAACUUGUUCCCUAUUUCCUCAUCUCCCUCCAGCCAGGGAUAUUUGGUGCUUGUGUGUUCCUUUCUCCUCCUCUCUUUUCAUGGACCUCUUAAUAUGUCUUCUGAUAAGUGCACAGGUGAUUUUAAUUGGUCUUUGUGCCUUAUGGAUCUUGUUUUAGAUUUAAAUUUAAUGUGCAUCCUUUAAACACCAGACCAAUUAAUAUGGAAUAUGCUUUUGUAGUUUUCCAUGCUAAAUGAUUCCGCUGAUUUUGCAAUGACCCAGGGGUUUCAUGCUAUGGUGCUGACAGCUGCUUUUGUCAUUGACUUUAAAAAAAAAUUCAGUUUCAAAACUUGGCUUUUCUAAGACAACCCCUAAUCCUGAAUCAACUAUGAAAAUCUUCUUUAUUUUAAAAAUACUGUUGGGAGAAUGUUAUUAUUUGUGGCUUGUUAGCUUUCAGCAAUUAUUCCUUUUUUACACAGCUUUUUUAGACAUGACAGUAUCCAAAGUUCAGAAUCUCUCCUUACUCCACAAACAAUCAUGCACAGACUUAAUUUUUAAAUAAGAUACCAGUCUUAGAAAGUUCUGCAUCUCUCAUGAAAUUUAAAUAAUUACACAGUGUGUAUAGGCACAUGGUAUCUUUCCCCAAAGCUUAUGGGUUAGUAUCACUCACAGAGUAUUUGUGGCAUAACUGAGAAAACUUUCUAUUAAAACUGACUUAUUUCACCAUCCUGCCAUACUGUAAGGGUCAAAUCAUCUGUUCUGAGAACCAUUCACUUAAAAGAUUAAGGCAAAGCCAAGGGUGAUCCCUCUUUGCUGUAUAAUGGGAUACCAGUAAUGUAACCAGGGAAAGUAGGAAGUGUUCAGGACUAAAUCUCAUUGGGAGACAGGCUCAGCCUAAGUAGAAGAAAUGUGGAUGCAGUUAGAAGUGAUUAAGGUGCUUAGUCUUUCCAUUAUAAAUCAUCAAUCUUUAUGUGUGAUUGUCUUCCUAUAAAUCAUAAAGCAAUUUAUCUUAGCCUUGUAAGCAAAUGAUUUUUUCAGGCAUUUUGAAAGCAUUUUCACACAAUAAAUCCAGGACUGAUAGUAAAGGCUUAGCUUCCAUUAUGAUAAAUAGAAUAGUCAUGAAAGGAUCAUUAUUUUCAUGGCAAUGUACUUGGAAAAAUAACAGAGAUUAGAGCAAGAACUAACAAGAGAUAAUAAGGAGAAUAAGAAUGGAAUUUUUCCUAAUUCAGUUGUUAAGGAUGAAUGCUUUAUCUUGGCUGCCUGACUUAGUAUUCUGGAUGAUGGAAAGGAGAAAACUGUUCUGAUUUCAGAAAAUAUAAAAGUAAAUAUGAAAGCUGAAACUCCCUCUGCUUUCCAGUGCAGGUGUAUAGACUUCUAGGUGAUUUGAAGAAAAUUACUUAGAGAGUUCAGGGAACUGGUAUGUGAAAUUGAAGUAAAUAUAAAAUGCUGGUAUGAAGGGCCUGGGUGGAGCCUGCUGAACACCCCCACAGUUCUCUGGGCAGUAGAUGAUGUCACUUCCAGUGGUAGGCACCCCUCCACUUGUAUUUUCCUCCUUGUUCUUCACUGACCCAUGGCUCCUUUGCCCUUCAUCAAGUAGAUGUGGACAUAAUCAAAGUCAACCCUUCCAGUAUUGUGGGAUCUAAUUCUCAAAUAAAGGCAACAUUUUCUAUAAACCACAACUCUCAUCUUGUCAAUUGAAUAGCAAAUCACCCAGGGCCUUGGAAACUAUAACAAAAAUUUCCCAGUCGGGUUACUUAACUGGAAUAAUUUUGAAAUUACUUAUUUGUGGUACCGUUGUCUUUUGUGUCCCACCAUCAAGAGUGCCUGGCUGAGGGAUGGCUGCAGAGCUGACACAUCAUGGGUGAGUUGUUCAUGCCUGAAUUUUCACCCAGUAUUUGAUUCAUAUUCUUCCUUCAGAGAAGCUCUUCAUUCCAUUGCAAAGUAUCGUUAUUAAAUGUAACUCCUUUUAAAACUCUACUUCGAUUUAUGAUUCCCUUACAGCAAUAGAAGGAAUUCCUGAUCCGCUUGCUGUCCUCCUGGUAAAGCCAAGUUAUAUGUGCAUCAGCCACGAGGUGGCAAUACAAGAGCUUGAUAUGCUGGAUUUUGGUGAACUUUGGGAUAUUAGCUAGGUAAAUAUAUUUUCAGUGUUUCUGCAGAGUUUGGCUUUCUCUGCCAGUGUGUGAUGCGUGCUCCACAUCUGCAUAAAUGACUUCAUGCAAAAGCUAAGGGAGACUAAGCCGAUUUACUGGAUCAAUGAUUGAAGACUUUUAUGUGGCUAAUAAUUGAUAUCUUUAUUUAAAUGGCUCGGUAGUUGAUGGAGAUAUUAUGUGAAGAACUCAGCUGCCAUUAAAAGCAAAAUAUCUCAAGAAAGCGGAUACUCUGGUAACAUACAGCUGUCUCACUGUGAGUUUUCUCCUGGCUUUAAGUUCUGACCUUCCUGAAGGCCAAGGAAACCUGAACACCUCACAUGUAUGGAAUUCCCAGACAGGAUUGCUUCACAACAUUGAAGUCUGCCUUUUUCAUCCAGGUUUUUGAUUCAGCUCUCAGCAUGGCUGAUGCUUCUUUUUCUGCCUUAUAAGAGCAUUCAACACUGGUGUCAGGUGGAAGUACUUAAUUUCCAAUCUUUUUUGUCCUUUCUUGUCAUUUUCAGGCAUUAGGGAAAGUAAUAGUAUCUCUGUACUUUCAAGGACUAGUUUUCACCCACUGUAAUGGAGAAAGUAUUUUAAGACAUUUUCUAUUUUGACAUUAGCUCUUUCAGUAGCAGUCAGUGCUACAGCUUUUCAGAAGGUGGAGUUCUCUGUUUUUCAGAUAGACUAAAAAGCUUCUAGCAUAAGAAAUGGAUUGUGGACUUGGCAGAUGUCUCAUGUCACUAUAUUCACCACAGUGUUUAUUUGAACAUGAAGAAAUUAUGGAUGUGCAUUUUGCUAUUUCACAUGAAAGUGACAACAACCUGCUACUGUCUUUUCUUGACAUGGAAAUAGUUUUCCUCUGAGUACUUUAUGGGAAAUCUUACUUUCAAUCAGACAAUGCACUGUGAAGUCUCUUAGCAAAUAUGUCUUUGAAAUACAUGCAAGUUUGUGGUUUAGUAAAUAAAUAGAAAUGUAAGGAGAGGAACAUAGUAGGAAGCCUUGAAAGAGUAAAUAACUUUUGAGAAGGGAACUUCCCUAAGAAAGAUUUGUGAUAAAAUUCUGCCUGUGAGUCGGGUGUUCAGCCUGUAAGAAGUGCUGUGAGCACAGGUGCUGGGACUGCCUUGUCUUUGAAAUAACACAAAGCUCUUCUGCAAGGACAGUGAUGGCCCCUCUCAGUUUGGAUACUUUGCUGGACCAGGGCACUGGCACACAUCAGAAUUCAAGAUUCACAGCUAUUAAAGCCUGAAGGAAACGGAUUUGGCUGAUUUUCCCUCUGCACAAUGCUGACCAUGGGAUUUAACAGUUGACAGAAAAUGCAGAAAUGGAGACCUGUAUUUGGCAAAAGCAGAUACACCACAGCCCAGAUGUCCUUCAAAAGGAUCUCUAACCCUAUCUGUUAGCAUCAAGCAGCCUGCUUAGACAGUUGAUAAACAAACUUUGUCUUCAAAGCUGGUAACAACAGAUUUCUCCUGAGAAAACAUGCACUAUCCCCAAAGGCUCUUCUCUUUCUUGAGGUUGUUUGCAUGUCUCAGAUACUGCACAGCAUCAGACCAGAUACUGCACAGCCUCAGGCCAUGCUCCUGGCAGGUUACAUAAAAAAAGGCUUAGAGAAGCUGGCUGGUGAUUGAAGAAAUGAAAGUAAGCUUUGGGACAUGAUGUUUGAGGAACUGGACGGCUACUGCUUUUACCUUGCAGCUUUCUCCAGUUGCUUGUGGCAAGAUGCUGGACUUAGAUCUCGAUGGGAGCCAUUUUUCAGGGAUAACAAGUAACUGGUUGUACCAGCAGAAGGAUAACUCAACUCAGUGAUGAGUUGAUAGGAUAAUAUUUCUGUCCACCUAAAUUGUUCUGCAGUAUCAAAUGACAAAGAGCUUUCCACCCCAAACCUCCUGUCACAAAAGCCUCGGAAGAGCUCUCUCUCGCCAGCUGCAAGAAAUGGACAUGUUCAGAGCCACGUGUCCUCCACAAGGGAUUGUUUCAGCUCAGCUGUUGACAAGUUCUGGGAGCCAACAAGUUCAGAACUGGAGAAUGGGAAGAGUGCAGAAGAGCCAAGUCAAAAAACCCCCAAACCCAGCAUUUAAACCCAAAGGGAAAUCUUUCUUUUCACUGCCUAAAUGCCUCAGUAAAACACCAUUUUUGUCUCAGGGCAUAAAAGGUACUCCCUGCUUUCUUCUUGAAGCCCAAUUCCAAUGUUGAUGUGAGGGGUGGAUGGCAAGACAGAAUCACAGAAUACAUUGAGAAAUGAUCAGGAUAAAAAAGAUUUAAAUGCAGCCAUUGAGAGGAAACAAGAAUAUGUUCCAACAGCAGCUUCUCUGGCCCCAACAACAACUUCUGUUUUCCCCAGAGUCCUACUUGCUGAACACCAUCCAAUAGGCCUGUCAUGGAGGAAUUUCACCUAUCAAAGGGAGAGGUGCAGGUCUGGGACCUGAGUCAAAUGGCUUUGAGCAAGAGAAGACUUGAAAAGGAUGACUCUCAUCCUCUGAAGGAGAGAGGAAGGGAGAAGCCCUUCCCAGACUAACAUAAAGGGUUGAGACCCACUCUCCUGGCUCACUGCAUGAACAGAGCAUGAUGGCCUGGCACAAUGGGCAUGCAUGCAAACUGGAGACUUUUUCCUGGAAUGCUUCUCCUCUGAUCAGCUAACACCAGGUUUCAUGGGAUCUGGCUCACUCUGUCAUUCCUGGAAAGCCCUGACCUGGAGGUGUGGCCAGCAAUCUGACUGCCUGGAGACCUGUGAUGGGACUUGUCAAACUGACCGAAAGGCACUUGAUAUCAAUCAGUAAUUGAUCAAUCAGCAAGAAAGAGGAUACCUAAGAGAUCCAGUUACUGUCAUUGUGAUCCUGAUUUCUCCUGAGGAUGGCAGCUAGAGUCUCUCUCCUCUGAUGAGUAAGGUGCCCAUCAGAUCAUGUGUGUCAGUCAUAGCCAAGGCAAAAUGUGCAGGGGUGUCUGCAGGCAGAGCCUCAGCCUGUCCCUGGCUGUGUGUGCCUGCCCUGGUGGAUGCCACACAUGCCUGAUACCCAGGCAACCUGGCUGUAGAGCUGCAGGCCCAGAGGAGCCUCAGCAAAGCUGAAAAAUACAGAAGGAGGAGUCAAAUAAAUGCCAGAAUUGAUGCAAGGGUAGGCAGAGGGAAAGCAUAGUCAUGAGGGAGGAAAAGCAGCCGUUUAAGUUGGUUUAAAUUAAUACAAAACCACACUCUGUGCCAGCAAUGACAUCCAGAUUGAACAAGAUUUCUGUGUCCCUUACGGUACAGGCAGCUGUGAUGGAUCCCUGCCUUUCCACAAUAAAUAGAUUUUAGCAAGAGUUGAGCUCCUAAGUGCUCCACAAAGCUGCUGAAUGAUCAUGUGUUGAUUAACCUCACCAAGGAAGCAUUGCAAGUACUGGCCAUCAGCAACUAGUUGAGAACUGGUCAUUAAGGGUAUCAGACUGGAAAUAUGUCCUUUACAAAGACAUUCUAAGUGCAAUUAGCUGGUGGAUCAUAAGACCUUGAGACUAUCACUCUUUGGUUUCAU